CCCAGCAAGGACACCAGCACCAGCGACAGCACGGAGGAUGUUCGCGCCAGCACCCUUGAAGAGGGACUUGGGGCCCUCCUUUGCGACAAUCUGCUUGAAAGCAUCCAAGGAACUGUUGUACUUGACAGCCUCACCAGAUGUCAUCAUCAUGCGACGCCGAACGGUAUCAAUAGGGUACGAGGCAAGGCCAGCACCCAUUGUUAUGCACCAGCCGAGAAAGAAGCUGGCCAAGAAGUUGUCCUGCAGAAUACACCAGCACAAAUGAGUAUACAUCAUAUCAAAUUUCAGCAAAAGACCCCCAAUGCAUUUCAGGCACAAGGGAAAGAGCUACAAAUCAAUCAACAAAGAGAUAAUGAUUACACAGGAAAAUGUGACAAAAAAUUAGAAUAUGAGUAGCAGUGUCAAUUCAAUGCAGGGUGGUCCUAAUGUAAGUGUACCACUCAAGGAAAUAGCACAAACACUGUAUAAGUUACUGACCUGCAGGGAACCAACAAGAAGCACUGGCUUGAGCGAGUCGUACAUUCCAAAGUAAAGACCACGGUAGACGAUGAUUCCCACACAAGAGAUACUGAAUCCACGGUAGAGGCCAGCAAUCCCAUCACUGGCAAGGGUCUUGCGGUAAACAUCAACGAGUCCAUUGAACUGCCUCUCACCACCCCCCUUCUUUGCAACCUUGGCAUCAUUGGCCAAACGCGUACGAGCAUAGUCCAGAGAGUAAACAAAGAAGAGAGAGCAAGCACCAGCAGCUCCUCCAGAAGCAAGGUUUCCAGCAAACCACUUCCAGUAUCCAUCCUUGUCCUUCUUGAAGUUGAACAUGCGCUUGAAGUGGUCCUUGAAUGCAAAGUUCAAUGCCUGAAGCAGGAUGGAACCUUUAGGUUUAGCUAAUGCAAACAUAUGAAUUAUGAUCACAAAACAUUAGAAAAUAAGGGUUGGACAAGAUAGAAUGCAUGACCUGUGUGGGGAAGUAACGGAUGACAUUAGCUGUGUUUCCUCUCCACAGUGAGAUGACACCCUCAUCUUUCAUCGUCCGGGCAAAGCAGUCCCCAAUACCCUUGUAAGGUUCAGAAAGCCUACCACUUUUGAUCAUCUCAUCCUGGUUCUGAAUCAACAGCUUGACACGCUCAAUGGGGGCAGCAGCUGUCUUGGAAACAGCAGCAGAAACUCCACCCAUCAGAAAGUCAACCAUGAAUCCAGAAAAACUUUUCUCUUUGGGGGCAGAAGCGAAGAAAGGGGAGGACGUCAUGACUGAUGGGAGCCCAACAGUUGCAUCCAUCCCAUGAUAUGACCUCAGGGGCACAUUGUAAGCAGAAUGCACAUUGCUGAAUACAGGGUUAUUCAUGGCAGAAUAAGAAGAGAUUCUACUCAACAACACGGGCUGCCCAUGGACCCUCUGGAUCCCAGAUGAAGAACGUAGUUCAUGCUCCAUUUUUCACAAGCCAGAAGCAACCUGUCAAACAGCAGCACAGAACAGCUGGGUUAGACUGCAAGCUAAUCCAGCAAAAUAGCAACAAGAACACAGUAACACACAAUACACUACAAACAUAACAGCGUAUACCAGGUGCAUCGAGGUAAUAAUAAAAACAUAAGAAAGGUUCGCAUUCAAAUAUACAAUUAACUUAUGAAACUAUCAAACAAGUAAUUACACUAAUGCAGGGUAGAUAUAAAUGAUCCAAAGUGGAUACACGUACUUCUAAUGGCACCCAAAAGCAUGAACAAAUAUUUUGGUUUCAAUUGCAUUCCUCCUAACAAAAGAGGAAACAGCAAAAGAAAAAAUAUAGGAGUGGGAUGUUCUAAAAGGAGCAGGAGCACAUGCAAAUAGAACAAAGCACCCCUGGCGCAUCAAGAUAAAAUCACUGCCAUUUGUCUAGGAUGCCAGGCUGCUGAACAUGAGGUCAUAAAUAUUAACAUCCAAAUAGCUGCAUAGCAAUGAGCAUUUGAAGCUCAAUAGGGAAAACAAAGCACAAUAGCAUUAUUGAUCCUUAUCUUGUAAGGAAGCUUAAACUAAACAUCUAAACGACGAAUAAGAGAAUGCCACAUUACUCAGAAAUAUGUCAAACGUUGGAUGGUCAUCUGGUGGUUUAGGUCCUCCAAACUAACAUGUAUUCAGAAGAAUAUAGAAUACUGGUCAUGUGUCCUCUUCGGUCAAAGAAUUAAAAGGUAGAUUUUCUUCUCCUAAGUCCUAAUGCUCCUCACACACAGCUUUAUUUCUUUCAUCCCCCGAACCAACUGAGCACAGUCAUCUUUCUUCUCCCUACCUUGAGAAAUAGACAAGAUCACAUCCAUCUACAUGUAAGAUUUACUGUCCUUUUCUCCCUUCUCUCCUUAAAUUCCAUAUGAAUACCAAACUAUGCACACAUCAGUUAUUUUCAUGCAGGAUGCAGCAAUGUGUGGGGGUAAUGUAAGUUCUAUUGUCAAAACAGCACGCCGGUUGUUUAGAGGCCUGAACAUAGAUAGCUUUCUUCAAGUCAGGGCAGCAUGUCAGGCACUCAACAAACAUGAACAUACACAAUGUAUCGGUAUCCUAAACUCCAAAAGAAACCACAACUCAAAUGGGACCAAAACCAGAGGCUGAUACCCAGGGGCGGACCCAAUAACUGUUGCAAAAAGAUCGAAUUUAGUAGGUAAAAUCAUGGUCAGAUCCGAAUACAAAUACCAUACGUUAGGGGUUUGGGUGUUUGAUUUCGCGCAGCAGGAUGGGAAGGGAGGGGAAUAGGCAGGCAUACCCCUGUCGGAUGUUCGUCGCCGGCGAAGCGCCCGUCGCUCGACGAACAACGGGCAGCGCAACUCGCCCUGUCGUCGCCGCUAGGAAAGGAAGACCGAGGCCGAGAGAGAGAACAGAUAAGUCGUAGGAAGGGAGGUGUGACGACCCUAGACUACGCGGCGGCACGCCAGCGAGCUUUGGUCGGAGAAUCGCCGCUGCCGGCGGCUUGGGGAAGAAGAUGAGCAGGAAGGGUUAGGUUUUGGUACUCCGUUCAUUCAUGCCCCUUCCCUACACGGGUUGGGUUCUUAUCCACGCCACAGGCCGGCGUGGUGGCCCAAUGGGCUUAGCCCAGUUCUUGACAUGGUGUCAAAAAGAAACUAGCUGAUCUCAUGCCAUACUUGAAACUCUAAUGUAACAAUGCUUACAACAAUGCUUAGUGACCGAGCAUUCUAACAUCACUGCGUGCCAAGACAGGAACGAGUUACCAUGUGUUGUUCUUUAUGUGCCCAUACGAUGAGGCAUGCUUUACUUUUUAAUCAAGAAAAAAUUGGAAAUUUCAAGAGCAUAUUAACAACUCUAGACAUUAGUGCACAGGUGAUAAAGUUGGGUGUUAAUUAACACUGUUGCAUAUAAAAUUGUAAAUGCUGAAGAUAUAAAAACAGUUAGGUCGCACUUAUUGUUUCGUCGUUUUGCAAAAGAUCUUCUUGGAUACAACUAGACUGCUAGCGGAACAAACAGAUAAUCUUCCUGAUGAGAUCUGGAAUUAUGUGAAGGAUUGUAAAGUUGUUCAGACAGCAAUUCUGUUGAUGGCAGCGCAAAAACAUAUCCGUGGGGGAUCUUCCUACAAGAGAAAUGAUGAUCCUAAGUUAGAUGGGUUCACUACUAUCAAUAAUCGCAUCCGUCACUCCAUGACCUCAGAAUUGGGGAUGUGUCAAAAUGAAGAGAAACUACAGCAGCUGUGGUCGAAGUUCAAAGUUAUGUUAUCCUCAUCAUUGCUUAUUGAUAUAAUUUCCCAAGCUGGUGAAACUAUUGGUGAUUAUACACGGGAUCAUCCUGAGGUACCACUUUUUCUGAUAGAUUGCAAUUUUUUUAUCUAUAUGCUGUUCUGUUACAGCACUGCUAUAGAUUAGGAAUUAUAUAAAAUAUAGAAUGGAUAUACAAACAUUUUUUUCAUGAAAUGACAACUAAAUAAUUAGAGAAGAAAAAAAAGCGAUCAGGGUCUUUUUACUGUAUCCUAUGACAUAUAGAUAUUGUCCUUUUUUCUUUCAACUUCUCUCCUUUCAUAUUUUUUUUGUCAUGCAGGCUUCAGAUGCGGAUAUUUUUGAACAAGUUUCAUCGAUUCUCAAGUCUUAUGGAUUUAAUCCCAAUGGACAAGACAUCGACAUUAAGAAUCUGUACCUUUUUACAUCCCUUUUGCAUUGCUUCAAUGAUCGUAGAUUUGUAUGAAAUACAUGACUAUUAUGUUCGUUUAAUGAUUUUUUUCUAUUUGUUGCUGAAGCUGCCCUUAUAAAUUUCGAAUGCCGAGUGGAGAGCUAUUUGACCAAUAUGGUGGGUGUGGAUGUGGUUAUGUUGGCCUGGGUCAUUCUUUUAUAACUUUAGAAUAUAAACCCUGUUUUAUUUGUCAUGGAAAACAGGGAGCUUGGUUGCAACCAAGGCAACUACAGGUGUACCUGAUCUGCUUGCUGCAGAAAAAAAAGGUAAGAUGCAUUUCUUACAUUACUGCAUGUUAGUUCUUGUUUCAUACAAAGAUUGCUUUCUAUGCUUAUUUUUAGGGCACUGGAAACUACUACAACCUAUUGCGACCGACUUAAUUUUUAUGUGUUUCUUCCCUGUUUAAAACAUUCUGUUCUUUCCAAAAUUUUCUAUUGUAGAGCAUCACCCUAGAACUUAUUGCUAUGUGAAUAAAUUGCAAUGCAAUUCCCUAGGUCUCAAUGCUGCAUAUAAAGAAUUCUUUUUGAGUGGGUGGAGGGUCUUCUUUGAUAAUUAUAGCCCUAGAGAAGAUCUGUGUGCAUUUCUCUUCGUUGCUUUGGUAAUUAUAGUUAAAAAUGCAAAUUGCAAUUAUGCCAUAGUCUAUCUGCAGUGCAAUUACAACCAAUCUGUGAUGGAAUUCUGUAUGGUCAUGCAUAAUCCAUCUGUGUUUUUGUUCUUAUAACUCAAGAAAGAACACUAGUUAUAUUUGUAGUUUAUGUUGCUGUAAUGAUUUAGAACUGCGAACCCUUUUUACCUGGCAUCCAUGUUUGUCUUAUUUACAGCCACUAGUUCUCAUUUUUACGUCAUAAUUACAAAUAUGGGUAGUCAUAAUAUUUACGUCAAAUCAUAUUGCAGAAUUUCAUAUUAGUUCUCAUUUUUACCAUAUUGCUUUGCAAACAGUGUGCCUCUAAAAAUCAAAUGGCCCAUAUGCCGCAACCCUGUAAUAUUUCAAGUAUGAUAUGUCUUCCCAAAGGAAAAGAACAUAGAUGGAACCUGGAGUUAUUUCCAUCAAGCUCCUACUCACAAAAGAGUGAAUUUACUAGACAAAAGUAAACCAAAGAAAUGCAAAUAGCCAACUUAGAACAGCUCAUAUUCACUGGGAAGAAUUGUCUUCUUAAUAAUACCUCUAAGCUGUUUAGAUUGGAAAGCAGCAUCCAAUAUCAUACUGGCAACUGGGCCACUUGUUAAUGAUUCAUUAUUGUUGUUUUCUGGUUUGCGUGAUCUUUGACUCUUUUUGCCAUCUUUGCAAUGGAUAAGUAUGAUAUAUGUCAAGCUGGUGCUUUCUUUAUGUAAGUUCUGUUUUGCUUUACUAAGCUUUCAUCUUCUUUCCUGACCUUCAAAAAAUAGCAAAAGCAAGUUUCAUGUGCUAUGUUUCUGCCCAUGCAGCUUGCUGGUUCAGCAGCCUACUAUGUUGCUUAAGCAUGUUAGCCAAGUACUGCAGUUUAGUAACAUGUCAUCCAACUCAAAAAACUAUAUUACAAGUAGCUUAAGUAAUACUCCACUGAUGCAAAUAUCAUGUACCAUCUCAAGUCAGUCCUGAUGGUCGUUAUGCUGCAAUAUGCAGUGUUUUGGGAUUACUAGUUUGAAGUGAAAAUGGGUUGGUAGAGAGCUGUAUGUUUAUAUAAAAGCCCAACUGAUGCCUAAAUCUGCAUUUUCCAUAUGACCCAGGAUGUUGGAAAGAAACUGACUAAAAGAUUGAAGCACAAAUACACAUGGCUCAGUUUCUUCCCGUAUUGGAGAUCAGUUUUAGCAUCCCAAUUUCCUGUGAAGGUGUUUCCAGGCCAUGCAAGAAGCGAUACUAAGCAUGUCCUAGAUCUUGGACAAAUUGGCAGAUCUUGGAGUUACUAAACGGAUGAAGUAUCUUCACCAAUUCCAAAUGACCUUGGUCUUUUGGGAAGAAUUGCACAGCCAGGAAACUAUCAACCCAGAAGGCAUUUUGGUACAGCAUUUGCUAUCCUGAAGGUGUUAAGGAAAGCCUGAGUUAAAAAGUAUGCUAAGUGCUCUGGUAUUCUAGUCAAAGUUUCUGAACGUGUGGAGACUUUUUGUGUGCUGCUGCACCUAAUACAAGGGAACAAAUAGAUGGUACCUCAGUAGAACUUGAACAUAUGGUUUUAUCAAGGAUUGCCAUGUACGAUGUUUAAGCUAUACGAAAUCUAUGUGAUAUACGUGUUCUUGUUCAUGCAGGUGAUGGGAGAGUUUCCCACUUACUGCUGUUUCCCUGCUAUUCAAGCUCAGUUAUUCAAGCUAAGCUAUUCAAGCUGGGAGGUGCUGUACAAGCAUUCAAAACUACCAUCAUGUUUGUUGCUCAUCAUAUAUAUUCUUAGCCUCCGUCAGAACUGUACUUCUUGCCUAAGGCAAUCAUCUGGAGCUUGUCGCGACGGCACGGAGGAUGUUCGCACCAGCACUCUUGAAGAGGGACUUGGUAGAUGGUACCCUCCUUAGCAAGGAGCGGGGACCGAGUUCCACUGCAGUCGCUAUAGGGACUGCAAGUUAAGCGGUCGACAGCUGAGAGGGGGAAUACUGUUAAGCACUGUGCUGAGAGAGGGAAUACUGUUCGAACUGUUCAUGUUUUCACUGUGCGUCACUGUUUAGUUACUGUAUCAUUGCAUCUGGACCGUUCGCAGGCAGAUCGGACGGCCAAAAUCACGUGCAGUCACUAUCUUGCAGUCGCAGUAGCGACUGCACGCGAUCUCCGUCCAGCGGCGAUGGAUGAAUGCUAAGGUUUUCCCCUCUCGUGUCGUGAGUCGUGAGUUGUCUGACCUGGGUUGGGCUGUAUCUAACAUGGGCUGUGAGUAUCUGGUUAUGACUAACCUAUUUCUCCAUGAAGGGCUUCAUUCUGUAAAUUGAUCACAAGAACAGUUCAGGCAGGGUCGACUGUACGUUCAUAAGAGCCGUAAUUCUAACACAUGAUCGGAUGAGGGUUUGUGUAGCGCUCGACGAACCCUUUUCACGACCAAAACUAAACAAUUGCCGCACAAGAUCACACAAAUAUACCUUUAUGAAACAAAGGGUGCUGGGAUUCUGAAACCUACCUAGUUACCAUUAGACUAUUCGAGCAACCUUUUGCACGCGCUAAACCUAAUUAAACUGAUACAGGCAAACAUCUCCAAAAGACUAGAACACGGAAACACAUUCGAUGGGCAACGUCUACCAGGGUUUAAGGUCUGCAAGACUGCAAUUUCUAACUUCAUUUAUUUCAAUCUCCGACGCAAAAAGAGAAGCGGGAUCAACCGCAUUACAAACCAAGCCACCAAACCUCUGCGCGUGCUAAAUUUAAAAAUAGCGUCCGUGGUCCGUAUGUAUGUUAUUCAAAGGCACCUAAAACAUCCUGUUUGUUGUUCAUCGUCAUCAUCAUCUAAUCUUAGCCGCCGCCAGACCCGUACUUCUUGCCAAAGACGAUCACCUGGAGCUUGUCGUAUCCAGCAAGGACACCAGCACCAGCAACAGCACGGAGGAUGUUUGCACCAGCACCCUUGAAGAGGGACUUGGUACCUUCCUUUGCGACAAUCUGCUUGAAAGCAUCCAAGGAACUCUUGUACUUGACAGCCUCACCAGAUGUCAUCAUCAUGCGGCGCCGAACAGUAUCAAUGGGGUACGAGGCAAGACCAGCACCAAUGGUUAUGCCCCAACCGAGCAAGAAGCUGGCGAAGAAGUUAUCCUGCAAAACACACAAGUGAGCAUUAAAUAUUUAAGGUAGAAAGGACAUGUGAAUCAAUUGGGACAACAACAUGAUUAUGCAGGAAAAACUGUCCUAAAGAUUGGGCAUGGGAUAAGCAGUUCUGACUUCAAUGGGUCAGCACUAAUAUCUGGGGAUAUCUAACCAGGAAAUAACCCAAACAAUGUCCAGGUUACUGACCUGCAGGGAACCAACAAGAAGCACUGGCUUGAGCGAGUCGUACAUUCCAAAGUAAAGACCACGGUAGACGAUGAUUCCCACACAAGAGAUACUGAAUCCACGGUAGAGGCCAGCGAUACCAUCACUGGCAAGGGUCUUGCGGUAAACAUCAACGAGUCCAUUGAACUGCCUCUCACCACCCCCCUUCUUUGCAACCUUGGCAUCAUUGGCCAAACGCGUACGAGCAUAGUCCAGAGAGUAAACAAAGAAGAGAGAGCAAGCACCAGCAGCUCCUCCAGAAGCAAGGUUUCCAGCAAACCACUUCCAGUAUCCAUCCUUGUCCUUCUUGAAGUUGAACAUGCGCUUGAAGUGGUCCUUGAAUGCAAAGUUCAAUGCCUGAAGCAGGAUGGAACCUUUAGGUUUAGCUAAUGCAAACAUAUAAAUUAUGAUCACAAAACAUUAGAAAAUAAGGGUUGGAUAGGAUAGGAUGUGGGACCUGUGUGGGGAAGUAACGGAUGACAUUAGCUGUG
rnacentral:lncRNA from 1 species